rnacentral:rRNA from 1 species
AUUGAACGCUGGCGGCAUGCCUUACACAUGCAAGUCGAAUGGCAGCACGGGAGCAAUCCUGGUGGCGAGUGGCGAACGGGUGAGUAAAGUAUCGGAACGUGCCCAGUCGUGGGGGAUAACGUAGCGAAAGUUACGCUAAUACCGCAUACGAUCUAUGGAUGAAAGCGGGGGAUCGCAAGACCUCGCGCGAUUGGAGCGGCCGAUAUGAGAUUAGGUAGUUGGUGGGGUAAAGGCUCACCAAGCCGACGAUCUGUAGCUGGUCUGAGAGGACGACCAGCCACACUGGGAUUGAGACACGGCCCAGACUCCUACGGGAGGCAGCAGUGGGGAAGUUUGGACAAUGGGCGCAAGCCUGAUCCAGCCAUGCCGCGUGCAGGAUGAAGGCCUUCGGGUUGUAAACUGCUUUUGUACGGAACGAAAAGGUUUGGGCUAAUAAGCUGAGCUCAUGACGGUACCGUAAGAAUAAGCACCGGCUAACUACGUGCCAGCCGCCGCAGUAA